rnacentral:rRNA from 1 species
UACGUAGGGUGCGAGCGUUAAUCGGAAUUACUGGGCGUAAAGCGUGCGCAGGCGGUUCGUUGUGUCGGCGGUGAAAGCCCCGGGCUCAACCUGGGAAUGGCCGUUGAAACUGGCGAACUGGAGUGUGGCAGAGGGGGGUGGAAUUCCGCGUGUAGCAGUGAAAUGCGUAGAGAUCGGUCAGAACACCAGUGGCGAAGGCGGCACCCUGGGCCAGCACUGACGCUGAGACGCGAAAGCGUGGGGAGCGAACGGA